AUGAUGCAUAGCCGAGUUGAGAGACUGAUCGGCCACAAUGGAACUGAGACACGGUCCAUACUCCUACGGGAGGCAGCAGUAGGGAAUCUUCCACAAUGGGCGCAAGCCUGAUGGAGCAACACCGCGUGAGUGAAGAAGGGUUUCGGCUCGUAAAGCUCUGUUGUUGGAGAAGAACGUGCGUGAGAGUAACUGUUCACGCAGUGACGGUAUCCAACCAGAAAGUCACGGCUAACUACGUGCCAGCAGCCGCGGUAAUACGUAGGUGGCAAGCGUUAUCCGGAUUUAUUGGGCGUAAAGCGAGCGCAGGCGGUUGCUUAGGUCUGAUGUGAAAGCCUUCGGCUUAACCGAAGAAGUGCAUCGGAAACCGGGCGACUUGAGUGCAGAAGAGGACAGUGGAACUCCAUGUGUAGCGGUGGAAUGCGUAGAUAUAUGGAAGAACACCAGUGGCGAAGGCGGCUGUCUGGUCUGCAACUGACGCUGAGGCUCGAAAGCAUGGGUAGCGAACAGGAUUAGAUACCCUGGUAGUCCAUGCCGUAAACGAUGAGUGCUAGGUGUUGGAGGGUUUCCGCCCUUCA
rnacentral:rRNA from 1 species